CCGGGAGCGGAGACCUGCAGGCUUUACCCGACAGCGUGGGGUCCGUCCCCUCCGCAGGCGAACACGCGGAGCCGCUCCCGCAGGCCCUCAAAGGAUGGAGUCUGCCCCAGGCACAGGCAGCGGCGUGAUGUGCGGACCACACCCGUGGCCUCCAGGCUUCCUGCUCCGCUCCAGGGCAGUCAGGCGUGCAGGCACCAGGCACCUGAGCUCGGUCAACACCCUCGGGAUCCUGUCCCUCCUGAGAUGUGACAGAAAUGGCCCCACACACGAGCGGCCUGAUGCUCGGAGGCCCUGUGGCCCCUGGGUGACUCAGUGAGCGGCAGGGACAGGGCUGGAUCCACAGCUCCGCCCCAAGCUUCCUGCCACCGUGGGAACCACAAGCUCCACGUUUCCCUGUCAGGUAAGCCUUUCGGAGGCAGGGCUGAAAUCCCAUCCUCACUGUGUCGCCUGACUUAGUGAAACGAGCCCCGCGGCAGGCACGCGCACCCCGGCUCAACCUCUGGGCGGGCACGCGCACCCCGGCUCAACCUCUGGGCGGGCACGCGCGCCCCGGCUCAACCUCUGGACUCGGGCUCCAUCUCCUCCUCGUCUCCCUGUGGGGUGGGCACUUGUAAUACCUCCAUGUUACAGAAAGGAAACUGAGGCACAGAGGGCCAUGCCUCGCCCAAGGUUAGCCAGCCAAUAGACGGGAGGGCUGAGAUUUGACCCAGGAACAUGCCUCCAAGCCCAUUUCAUUCAUUCAGCAAGGCUCGGGCAAGACAGGCUGGUGCCCGCACUGGGGAUGCCUGAACACCAGAUGGACUGGCCUCAGCCCAUGGUGGGCAGCAGGCUGGGCACGGGCAUCAACAUGGCAAUGCCAACCUUGGAGGGCGUUACGGAGGAUGGGCAGGGGCUGGCCUACCCCGCAGCUGCCUGUGAGAUCAAGAAGAAGCCGCACUCAGUCUGUGCUGGAGGUUUCCAGGUUAUGUCACAGUGCUGGGUCCCACUGGAGGGACGUGAGGCUCUGCCCCGGCUUCCAGGCCCCAGGCUGAGCAUGCUGGCAGGAGCGAGGUACCUGAGUGUGAUCACCUCCAGGCUGGGCAUCUCCCGGCAAAUGGAGA